rnacentral:rRNA from 1 species
GAUGAACGCUGGCGGCGUGCCUAAUACAUGCAAGUCGAGCGAACAGACGAGGAGCUUGCUCCUCUGACGUUAGCGGCGGACGGGUGAGUAACACGUGGAUAACCUACCUAUAAGACUGGGAUAACUUCGGGAAACCGGAGCUAAUACCGGAUAAUAUAUUUAACCGCAUGGUUCAAUAGUGAAAGACGGUUUUGCUGUCACUUAUAGAUGGAUCCGCGCCGCAUUAGCUAGUUGGUAAGGUAACGGCUUACCAAGGCAACGAUGCGUAGCCGACCUGAGAGGGUGAUCGGCCACACUGGAACUGAGACACGGUCCAGACGCCUACGGUAGGCAGCAGUAGGGAAUCUUCCGCAAUGGGCGAAAGCCUGACGGAGCAACGCCGCGUGAGUGAUGAAGGUCUUCGGAUCGUAAAACUCUGUUAUUAGGGAAGAACAAAUGUGUAAGUAACUAUGCACGUCUUGAGGGUACCUAAUCAGAAAGCCACGGCUAACUACGUG